rnacentral:rRNA from 1 species
UACGUAGGGUGCAAGCGUUAAUCGGAAUUACUGGGCGUAAAGCGUGCGCAGGCGGUUUUGUAAGUCUGACGUGAAAUCCCCGGGCUCAACCUGGGAAUUGCGUUGGAGACUGCAAGGCUGGAGUCUGGCAGAGGGGGGUAGAAUUCCACGUGUAGCAGUGAAAUGCGUAGAGAUGUGGAGGAACACCGAUGGCGAAGGCAGCCCCCUGGGUCAAGACUGACACUGAGAGACGAAAGCUAGGGGAGCGAAUGGG